rnacentral:tRNA from 1 species
CCCUUGUAAUAUAAUCAAUAUACUGGUCUUGUAAACCAGAAAUGGAGCCUACACCUCCCCAGGGC